AUGGUCACCAGUCUCUCAAGAUGUGUGGUCCUUUAUUUUCUAUGAACAGUCUCCACAGAAGCCCAAGUCAUCCAAAUCGCAAGACACCUCAUCAUAGAUAGUGGGAAGAAGUUGAAAAUAACUUGCUCUCAGAAUAUGAGUCAUGACUCUGUUUUGCCAUAGAUGAGACUCAUGUCUGUAAUCUAAAGCUGGCUUAUUACUCAAUUAAUGUUGAUAUUAUCAACAAGGAAAAAGUCUCUGAUAGAUAUAUCAUCUUUAGAAAAUCUUCCAGCAUCGACCAGGCAUGUGUGCACCUCUGUGCCAUGAGUGAAUGCAGCACUG